GAUGAACGCUGGCGGCGUGCCUAAUACAUGCAAGUCGAGCGAACAGACGAGGAGCUUGCUCCUCUGACGUUAGCGGCGGACGGGUGAGUAACACGUGGAUAACCUACCUAUAAGACUGGGAUAACUUCGGGAAACCGGAGCUAAUACCGGAUAACAUGUUGAACCGCAUGGUUCAACAGUGAAAGACGGUUUUGCUGUCACUUAUAGAUGGAUCCGCGCCGCAUUAGCUAGUUGGUAAGGUAACGGCUUACCAAGGCAACGAUGCGUAGGCGACCUGAGAGGGGGAUAGGCGACACUGGAACUGAGACACGGUCCAGACUCCUACGAGAGGCAGCAGUAGGGAAUCGUCCGCAGUGGGCGAAAGCCUGACGGAGCAACGCCGCGUGAGUGAAGAAGGUCUUCGGAUCGUAAAACUCUGUUAUUAGGGAAGAACAAAUGUGUAAGUAACUAUGCACGUCUUGACGGUACCUAAUCAGAAAGCCACGGCUAACUACGUG
rnacentral:rRNA from 1 species